AGAGUUUGAUCCUGGUUCUAAGUGUACGCUGGCGGCGUGCCUAACACAUGCAAGUCGAGGGGCAACAGGGAAUUUCGGUUUCGCUGACGACCGGCGCACGGGUGAGUAACGCGUAUACAAUCUACCUUUAUCAGGGGGAUAGCCCAGAGAAAUCUGGAUUAACACCGCAUAAUAUUAUUUUAAGGCAUCUUAGAAUAAUUAAACCUUCGGGGGAUAAAGAUGAGUAUGCGUGCCAUUAGUUAGAUGGUGAGGUAACGGCUCACCAUGACAAUGAUGGCUACGGGGUCUUAAAGGAUGAUCCCGCACACUGGUACUGAGACACGGACCAGACUCCUACGGGAGGCAGCAGUGAGGAAUAUUGGUCAAUGGAGGCAACUCUGAACCAGCCAUGCCGCGUGAAGGAUGACUGCCCUAUGGGUUGUAAACUUCUUUUUUACGGGAAGAAACCACUCCGUUAUGGGAGUGCUGACGGUACUGUACGAAUAAGGAUCGGCUAACUCCGUGCCAGCAGCCGCGGUAAUACGGAGGAUCCAAGCGUUAUCCGGAUUUAUUAGGUUUAAAGGGUGCGCAGGCGGGAAUAUAAGUCAGCGGUGAAAUCCUACAGCUCAA
rnacentral:rRNA from 1 species